rnacentral:rRNA from 1 species
ACGCGAAGAACCUUACCUGGACUCGAAAUUUUGUUGACAGUCUCAGAGAUGAGAUCUUCCCGCAAGGGACAGCAGAAUAGGUGCUGCAUGGCUGUCGUCAGCUCGUGUCGUGAGAUGUUGGGUUAAGUCCCGCAACGAGCGCAACCCUCACCCUUAGUUGCUCGUCCGUAAGGAAAGCACCCUAAGGGAACUGCCUCGGAUAACGGGGAGGAAGGUGGGGAUGACGUCAAGUCCUCAUGGCCUUUAUGCCCAGGGCUACACACGUGCUACAAUGGUCGGUACAAACCGUCGCUUACCCGCGAGGGGAAGCCAAUCGGAAAAAACCGAUCUCAGUUCGGAUUGCAGGCUGCAACUCGCCUGCAUGAAGCUGGAAUCGCUAGUAAUCACGUAUCAGAACGACGUGGUGAAUACGUUCCCGGGCCUUGUA